UACGUAGGGACCAAGCGUUGUUCGGAUUUACUGGGCGUAUAGGGCGCGUAGGCGGCGUGUUAAGUCACUUGUGAAAUCUCUGAGCUUAACUCAGAACGGUCAAGUGAUACUGAUGUGCUAGAGUGCAGAAGGGGCAACCGGAAUUCUUGGUGUAGCGGUGAAAUGCGUAGAUAUCAAGAGGAACACCUGAGGUGAAGACGGGUUGCUGGGCUGACACUGACGCUGAGGCGCGAAAGCUAGGGUAGCAAACGGG
rnacentral:rRNA from 1 species